rnacentral:lncRNA from 1 species
GAGUGCACCAGAGCUCGUUCUGCCCAGGGAACCUGGACCUUCGCCCUGUAGAAAGGGUGCAGUUUGCACAGCCUCUCCAACCUUUGAUAGAUUUGCUACCACUCUGCUAAGGCCCUCUCCUGGUUCACCCUGAAGACUCAUCUCAUUAGCCUCUGCCAAAAGGAGAUGGCCAGCCUAGAACCCAGGUGGCUGUCUCUGCUGUCCCCAUGCUGUGCGGGAGCGUCCAGUCUGAUGCAAUCCAUCUGUCCAUCUUUGAUCGUGUUGCCUAAGCUUUGAAGGGCUGACUCGGAAACACUGUCCAGGCUCAUCAGUGCUUCCCCCUGUUGCCCACUAGUGUUUUCCCUAUCUCAAGUCUUAACAUUAAACCCUUCCAUGUAUUCUGAAAUUUCA